rnacentral:rRNA from 1 species
AGAGUUUGAUCAUGGCUCAGGAUGAACGCUGGCGGCGUGGAUAAGGCAUGCAAGUCGAGUGGGUUUAGACCCACGGCAGACGAGGUAGUAACACGUAGGUACGCACCCUUUAGUCGGGCAUAACUAGCCGAAAGGUUAGAUAAUUCCCGAUGGUCUCGUAAGAGUAAAGAUUUAUCGCUAAAGGAGCGGCCUGCGUAGUAUCAGCUAGUUGGUAAGGUAACGGCUUACCAAGGCUAUGACGCUUAGGGGAGGUGAGAGCCUGACCCCCACCGAUGGAACUGAGAUACGGUCCAUACACCUACGGGUGGCUGCAGUCGAGAAUCUUCCGCAAUGGACGAAAGUCUGACGGAGCGACGCCGCGUGGUUGAUGAAGUCCUUCGGGAUGUAAAAACCUUUUAUAGACUAGAAAGUUUAUUGAUCAGUCUAUGAAUAAGGGGUUGCUAAACUCGUGCCAGCAGCAGCGGUAAUACGAGUGCCCCGAGCGUUAUCCGGAAUUAUUGGGCGUAAAGGGUGUGUAGGUUGUUGUGUUAGUCUUUUGUUAAAUUCUUCGGCUUAACCGGGGACAUGCAAAGGAAACGGCACGACUAGAGGAUGCGAGAGGUGAAUGGAACUCAUGGAGUAGGGGUGAAAUCCGUUGAUAUCAUGGGGAACACCAAAAGCGAAGGCAAUUCACUGGCGCACUCCUGACGCUGAAACACGAAAGCGUAGGUAGCGAAUGGGAUUAGAUACCCUAGUAGUCC